rnacentral:rRNA from 1 species
ACUCAAAUGAAUUGACGGGAGCCCGCACAAGCAGCGGAGCGUGUGGUUUAAUUCGAGGCAACGCGAAGAACCUUACCUGGGUUUGACAUCGUGGUGGUAGGAAACUGAAAGGGGACCGACCCGCAAGGGAGCCAUGACAGGUGCUGCAUGGCUGUCGUCAGCUCGUGCCGUGAGGUGUUCGGUUAAGUCCGCGAACGAGCGCAACCCCUGUUGCCAGUUACAAGUGUCUGGCGAGACUGCCGGUGACAAGCCGGAGGAAGGUGGGGAUGACGUCAAGUCAGCAUGGCCUUUAUAUCCAGGGCGACACACACGCUACAAUGGACGGUACAGAGGGCAGCGAGACCGCGAGGUGGAGCGAAUCCCAGAAAGCCGUUCUCAGUUCGGAUUGCAGGCUGCAACUCGCCUGCAUGAAGUCGGAGUUGCUAGUAAUCGCGCGUCAGCCACAGUGCGGUGAAUACGUUCCCGGGCUUUGUACACACCGCCCGU